rnacentral:rRNA from 1 species
AGCAGCCGCGGCAAUUCCAGCUCCAAUAGCGUAUAUUAAAGCUGUUGCAGUUAAAAAGCUCGUAGUUGAACUUCGGGGUUUACCCAUUGGUCAGGCUUAAUUGUCUGUACUGGUGAGAUGAAUCUCUACCUUCUGAGGAACUUUCAUGCCAUUUAUUUGGUGUGGUGGGAAAUCAGGACUGUUACUUUGAAAAAAUUAGAGUGUUUAAAGCAGGCUAACGUCUGAAUACAUUAGCAUGGAAUAAUGAAAUAGGACGGAUUGAUUCUAUUUCGUUGGUUUCUAGGAUCACCGUAAUGAUUAAUAGGGAUAGUUGGGGGCAUUAGUAUUCAAUUGUCAGAGGUGAAAUUCUUGGAUUUAUUGAAGACUAACUACUGCGAAAGCAUUUUGCCAAGGAUGUUUUUCAUUAAUCAAGAACGAAAGUUAGGGGAUCGAAGACGAUCAGAUACCGUCGUAGUCUUAACCAUAAACUAUGCCGACUAGGGAUCGGACGAGUUAAUUUUAUAAUGACGCGUUCGGCACC